UUCUCUGCUUGCUACCUUUCAGGACAGGUGUUGGAGCUGAUUUUAGCUUCUGCCAUGAUCAAGAUUGUCAUGUUGCCUGUGUGUUAGGAAAAAGAUUAAGAAUGGACACACUUGAGGUGACUUAAGCAUCUUCCACGAUCUUGAGCUCUGUGGUCGCAUCAUGCAUUAGGAAUGUGGAACCGAUAAUGGAUGCCCUUGAGCUGAUUUAAGCAUCUUCCAUGGUCAGGAGUUCUGUGGUUGCACCUGUGUGUUAGGAGCAUGGAAAACAAUAAUGGAUAUAUUCCAGCUGAUUUAAGCGUCCUCCCUGGUCAGGAGCUCUGUCGUUGCAUCUCUGUUUGAGCAGCAAGGAGACCAACAAAAAGAGGCCCAGAAGUGGACCAGUGAUGACCACUGCUG